rnacentral:rRNA from 1 species
AGAGUUUGAUCCUGGCUCAGAUUGAACGCUGGCGGCAGGCCUAACACAUGCAAGUCGAACGGUAACAUUUCUAGCUUGCUAGAAGAUGACGAGUGGCGGACGGGUGAGUAAUGCUUGGGAACUUGCCUUUGUGAGGGGGAUAACAGUUGGAAACGACUGCUAAUACCGCAUAAUGUCUUCGGACCAAACGGGGCUUCGGCUCCGGCGCAAAGAGAGGCCCAAGUGAGAUUAGCUAGUUGGUAAGGUAACGGCUUACCAAGGCGACGAUCUCUAGCUGUUCUGAGAGGAAGAUCAGCCACACUGGGACUGAGACACGGCCCAGACUCCUACGGGAGGCAGCAGUGGGGAAUAUUGCACAAUGGGGGAAACCCUGAUGCAGCCAUGCCGCGUGUGUGAAGAAGGCCUUCGGGUUGUAAAGCACUUUCAGUUGUGAGGAAAAGUUAGUAGUUAACACCUGCUAACCGUGACGUUAACAACAGAAGAAACACACCCAAACUCCGUGCCAGCAGCCGCGUAAUACGGAGGUGCGAGCGUAAAUCGGACUACUGGGCGUAAAGCGCACGCAGGCGGUUUGUUAGCUAGAUGUGAAAGCCCCGGGCUCAACCUGGGAUGGUGAUUUAGAACUGGCAGACUAGAGUCUGGGAGAGGGGAGUGGAAUUCCAGGUGUAGCGGUGAAAUGCGUAGAUAUCUGGAGGAACAUCAGUGGCGAAAGGCGACUCCCUGGCCAAAGACUGACGCUCAUGUGCGAAAGUGUGGGUAGCGAACAGGAUUAGAUACCUGGUAGUCCACACCGUAACGCUGUCUACUAGCUGUGUGUGUCUUUAAGACGUGCGUAGCGAAGCUAACGCGCUAAGUAGACCGCCUGGGGAGUACGGCCGCAAGGUUAAAACUCAAAUGAAUUGACGGGGGCCCGCACAGCGUGAGCAUGGGGAUUAAUCGAUGCAACGCGAAGAACCUAACCUACCUGGACAUGCAAGAACUUUCUAGAGAUAGAUUGGUGCCUUCGGGAACUCUGACACAGGUGCUGCAUGGCUGUCGUCAGCUCGUGUCGUGAGAUGUUGGGUUAAGUC